CAGUCGCCGCGGUAAUACGAAGGGUGCAAGCGUUAAUCGGAAUUACUGGGCGUAAAGGGUGCGUAGGCGGUUUGACAAGUCAUCUGUGAAAUCUCUGGGCUCAACCCAGAGUCUGCAGGCGAAACUGUCGGGCUUGAGUAUGGGAGAGGUGAGUGGAAUUUCCGGUGUAGCGGUGAAAUGCGUAGAUAUCGGAAGGAACACCUGUGGCGAAAGCGGCUCACUGGACCAUUACUGACGCUGAUGCACGAAAGCUAGGGGAGCAAACGGGAUUAGAUACCCCGGUAGUCCCUGUCUCUUAUAC
rnacentral:rRNA from 1 species